GGCGUGCUAAUACAUGCAAGUCGAGCGGACCCUUCGGGGUUAGCGGCGGACGGGUGAGUAACACGUAGGCAACCUGCCUGUAAGACUGGGAUAACUACCGGAAACGGUAGCUAAGACCGGAUAAGUGAUUCCCUUGCAUGAGAGGAUCAAGAAACACGGGGCAACCUGUGGCUUACAGAUGGGCCUGCGGCGCAUUAGCUAGUUGGUGGGGUAACGGCUCACCAAGGCGACGAUGCGUAGCCGACCUGAGAGGGUGAUCGGCCACACUGGGACUGAGACACGGCCCAGACUCCUACGGGAGGCAGCAGUAGGGAAUCUUCCGCAAUGGACGCAAGUCUGACGGAGCAACGCCGCGUGAGUGAUGAAGGUUUUCGGAUCGUAAAGCUCUGUUGCCAGGGAAGAACGUCGCGGAGAGUAACUGCUCUGCGAAUGACGGUACCUGAGAAGAAAGCCCCGGCUAACUACGUGCCAGCAGCCGCGGUAAUACGUAGGGGGCAAGCGUUGUCCGGAAUUAUUGGGCGUAAAGCGCGCGCAGGCGGCCGCUUAAGUCUGGUGUUUAAGCCCGAGGCUCAAACUCGGUUCGCACUGGAAAC
rnacentral:rRNA from 1 species